AACGAACGCUGGCGGCAUGCCUAACACAUGCAAGUCGAACGAGACCUUCGGGUCUAGUGGCGCACGGGUGCGUAACGCGUGGGAACCUGCCCUUAGGUUCGGAAUAACUCCCCGAAAGGGGUGCUAAUACCGGAUAAUGUCUUCGGACCAAAGAUUUAUCGCCUUUGGAUGGGCCCGCGUUGGAUUAGCUAGUUGGUAGGGUAAAAGCCUACCAAGGCGACGAUCCAUAGCUGGUCUGAGAGGAUGAUCAGCCACACUGGGACUGAGGCACGGCCCAGACUCCUACGGGAGGCAGCAGUGGGGAAUAUUGGACAAUGGGCGAAAGCCUGAUCCAGCAAUGCCGCGUGAGUGAUGAAGGCCUUAGGGUUGUAAAGCUCUUUUACCCGGGAUGAUAAUGACAGUACCGGGAGAAUAAGCUCCGGCUAACUCCGUGC
rnacentral:rRNA from 1 species